UCUUAACCUUACAAAUAUACACAAUUCAUGCCCAUGUCUUUAUCCAAUGAAAACGAUAGCUCUUUAUUAUGUCGCCUACACAUAUCUACUUUUACUAUGCUUUAAUUGCCUUUCCCCAAUCCAGUGUUUAUUCUCAGAACCAGCCCCUACGCCGAAAUGAAUAAACGAGAUAAUUAGAUAAACACACCAAUCACAGGAUAAAUCCAACGACCGUAACCGGACAAAAAUCUACAAAACCUAAAACCAGUAGCCACCACCCUGUUCUCUGAUCUCUCACAGCUCAAUAUUUUUUCAAGUUUCAAGAAAAUGCCUCUUUCCUUUAACCCCCAGACUAGCCAAGGCCUUCCAGUUUGUCUUUCUGGGAUCAAUCUUCAUCCUUUUUCUUUCUCCAAGGAAAUGGCAGAUCAUGACAGAAGAAGGAAGGCCAUAAAAAAGAUGAAAUCUCAAGCUCUGCAUAUAGAUCAAGGAAGGACAAGGAAUGGGAGAGUGAAUAGAAAUGGAGAUGUUGCUUGCUUUUCUUUGGCUUGUUCAGCCAAGGCAGCAUAAUUUCAGUGAAUUUUAAUUAGCGCUAGUUUUUUAGGUUUGAUUAGUUUUAUGGGCUUGUUUUAAAUUUACUCCGUUUUGUAGAUCCGUGUUUGAUUUGAUCUUUUUUCUUAAAUUUUGACUGAAGAUCUGCAGUAUGAUGAAGGCUUAUUAAUCGGUGUAUGUAUGCUUUCUUUAACCUACUUUUUUU